ensembl:lncRNA
GUGUUCCUUGUUCAAAGAAAACUCUGGUUAAAGUAAAAUGGCUAAAAUAUGUGUUCAGACUCGAAAGGGCACGCUGCAGCGUGACUCCUGUGAUCAGCCACACCCAAUCGGGUUGUUCCUUCUUUUUGAUGCUGGAGAGGGAGAAAUGCAAAAAGUCCUUGCGGAGCUGCUGCCUAAACGAGUGGAAAAAAUAUUAAAAACCAAGCCAGAAGUCUACAUAAAGCAAUCUUUGUACUUUGGAGAAUAUAUUUUUGUUUUUCCGAGCUGUCCUUGCCUUGGUGACGCUAGAACGUAACCGAACGGGACUUGGCCAUUAAGGUUUGGAUCGGGAAAUGCCAAGCUAGAAUCGGAGUUUGAUCCGCUGAGCGAGAAACAAGAUGGCGAGCCACCCACGGACCCAUUGAACUGUACCGAGCAGGAAAAGGGAAAACCGCCCCCUGCUGGAUGUUGAGUUCUUUCGCUAAAAGAAACUGACAUCCCUGCGCAAAUAUUGUCUGUACUGGCUCACAGAAAGAGUGGGUCAUCCUCAUUUUCAUCAAGAUUCUCCAUGCCAGGUUCAGCAACUGUAGCACUUGAAUGAAUACAAGAUCCCGCCUACAUGUGACAGCAACUUUGGUCCACUGAUCUACGGUACCAAGAAAACCCAAAGCUUCAUCUUGGAAAACCAUGGAGACUUCAAGACUUCUUUCACCAUCACAGACCCUACACUCUUAAGCAGGACAGGACUCACCUCAGGCUGGGUGUAUUCUCAUUGUCUCCCUGCACUGGAAGCCUACAGCCAGGGUGGUGACAGUGGACUGUGCAGCUGAACAGCUAGGCAGCUAUAACCAGGAUUUGCUCAUUGACACCACUGGGCGUGACCCCUCAGACCAUCCUGAU